rnacentral:rRNA from 1 species
CUUGAUGAACGCUAGCUACAGGCUUAACACAUGCAAGUCGAGGGGCAGCAUGGUCUUAGCUUGCUAAGGCCGAUGGCGACCGGCGCACGGGUGAGUAACACGUAUCCAACCUGCCGUCUACUCUUGGACAGCCUUCUGAAAGGAAGAUUAAUACAAGAUGGCAUCAUGAGUCCGCAUGUUCACAUGAUUAAAGGUAUUCCGGUAGACGAUGGGGAUGCGUUCCAUUAGAUAGUAGGCGGGGUAACGGCCCACCUAGUCUUCGAUGGAUAGGGGUUCUGAGAGGAAGGUCCCCCACAUUGGAACUGAGACACGGUCCAAACUCCUACGGGAGGCAGCAGUGAGGAAUAUUGGUCAAUGGGCGAGAGCCUGAACCAGCCAAGUAGCGUGAAGGAUGACUGCCCUAUGGGUUGUAAACUUCUUUUAUAAAGGAAUAAAGUCGGGUAUGCAUACCCGUUUGCAUGUACUUUAUGAAUAAGGAUCGGCUAACUCCGUGCCAGCAGCCGCGGUAAUACGGAGGAUCCGAGCGUUAUCCGGAUUUAUUGGGUUUAAAGGGAGCGUAGAUGGAUGUUUAAGUCAGUUGUGAAAGUUUGCGGCUCAACCGUAAAAUUGCAGUUGAUACUGGAUAUCUUGAGUGCAGUUGAGGCAGGCGGAAUUCGUGGUGUAGCGGUGAAAUGCUUAGAUAUCACGAAGAACUCCGAUUGCGAAGGCAGCCUGCUAAGCUGCAACUGACAUUGAGGCUCGAAAGUGUGGGUAUCAAACAGGAGUAGAUACCCUGGUAGUCCACACGGUAAACGAUGAAUACUCGCUGUUUGCGAUAUACAGCAAGCGGCCAAGCGAAAGCGUUAAGUAUUCCACCUGGGGAGUACGCCGGCAACGGUGAAACUCAAAGGAAUUGACGGGGCCCGCACAAGCGGAGGAACAUGUGGUUUAAUUCGAUGAUACGCGAGGAACCUUACCCGGGCUUAAAUUGCAGAUGAAUUACGGUGAAAGCCGUAAGCCGCAAGGCAUCUGUGAAGGUGCUGCAUGGUUGUCGUCAGCUCGUGCCGUGAGGUGUCGGCUUAAGUGCCAUAACGAGCGCAACCCUUGUUGUCAGUUACUAACAGGUCAUGCUGAGGACUCUGACAAGACUGCCAUCGUAAGAUGUGAGGAAGGUGGGGAUGACGUCAAAUCAGCACGGCCCUUACGUCCGGGGCUACACACGUGUUACAAUGGGGGGUACAGAGGGCCGCUACCACGCGAGUGGAUGCCAAUCCCCAAAACCUCUCUCAGUUCGGACUGGAGUCUGCAACCCGACUCCACGAAGCUGGAUUCGCUAGUAAUCGCGCAUCAGCCACGGCGCGGUGAAUACGUUCCCGGGCCUUGUACACACCGCCCGUCAAGCCAUGGGAGCCGGGGGUACCUGAAGUGCGUAACCGCGAGGAGCGCCCUAGGGUAAA